AGAUUUUGUGUAAAUUCUACAGAAAACUACUGACGCAUAUCAUUGUAUUUGCUUGAGGGGAGUUUUGCUGCUAUAUAAGAGAGUGAUUCUCUACUCCAGAGACACGUAUUCAGCUGUUGCAUCUUUUGGUGUUAAACAAUUGAACUUCACUCGGAAUCUCAGAACCAAUCAGUUUUCUUCCAUCAAGAUCUUCUAUAGUCAUCCUUAACACUGAGGCCUGCAUAUCAUUGUAUAUAUUUCAAAGCAGCGACUUUGUUUGGGGACGUGAGUUUCAGCACCAAAAACAACCUCAUAUUCUGAUGUAGCAUCUAACAUUCAUACACACCAAUACGUUUAUAUACAUCAUUACACAUAAGUCACCAAGUCGAUCAGGAAGAUACAGCAGGAGUUAGAGUGGGGAGGUGCUGGGAGUAGGAGAGGGACUCCAUGGUAACUCUGAGGUUCCCAGCUGAGGAGGAA